UUUUUUAAAUUUUUUUUAACCGCCAACGGGGGGCCCAAAAAUUUGUUUUUUAUUUCCCCCUACAAAAAUUUUAUUUUUUAAAUUUUUUUAUUAAAUACCCCCAUAAAAAAUUUAUAAUUUUUUAAAAUUUUUAAAAUUCCCCCCAAAAAUUUUUUGGAAAAAAAGGUUUUAAAAAAAUUUUUUAACCCAAAAAAAAUUUUU
rnacentral:rRNA from 1 species